rnacentral:rRNA from 1 species
UACGGGGGGGGCAAGCGUUGUUCGGAUUUACUGGGCGUAAAGGGCGCGUAGGCGGCCACCGCAAGUCAGUUGUGAAAUCUCUGGGCUUAACCCAGAACGGUCAGCUGAUACUGCGGGGCUAGAGUGCAGAAGGGGCAACUGGAAUUCUCGGUGUAGCGGUGAAAUGCGUAGAUAUCGAGAGGAACACCUGCGGCGAAGGCGGGUUGCUGGGCUGACACUGACGCUGACAGCGCGAAAGCUAGGGGAGCGAACGGG